rnacentral:rRNA from 1 species
GAUGAACGCUAGCUACAGGCUUAACACAUGCAAGUCGAGGGGCAGCGGUAUCGAAAGCUUGCUUUCGGUAGCCGGCGACCGGCGCACGGGUGAGUAACGCGUAUCGAACCUGCCUCAUACUCGGGAAUAGCCUUGCGAAAGUAAGAUUAAUGCCCGGUGUUUUCCGAGUCCCGCAUGAGGCUUUGAACAAAGAUUUAUCGGUAUGAGAUGGCGCUGCGUCCCAUUAGCUUGUUGGCGGGGUAACGGCCCACCAAGGCAUCGAUGGGUAGGGGUUCUGAGAGUAAGGUCCCCCAGAUCGGAACUGAGACACGGUCCAAACUCCUACGGGAGGCAGCAGUGAGGAAUAUUGGGCGAUGGGCGGAAGCCUGAACCAGCCAAGUAGCGUGCAGGAAGACGGCCCUCCGGGUUGUAAACUGCUUUUAGUUGGGAAUAAAACGGGGCUCGUGAGCCCUCUUGAAUGUACCAUCAGAAAAAGGACCGGCUAAUUCCGUG